rnacentral:misc_RNA from 1 species
GUUUUUCAUUUGUCAACUUCUCCAGAGACAGCGCAAGCUCCAUCGCAUACAAUGCAUCCCCCUUCUCAACAUGAUCAAACUCAGUAAGUGGCAUCAACAUAGACUGCAGCUUCACCUUCCCACCACGCUUGUUCUGGUAUUCCAUAAAUUUCUCAGCAUGUUCCCUUUCCUCUGCACUAGAUUCCUUGAAAAACUUGGCUAGACCCUUGAGAGCAACGUUGUCUCGAUCAAAAUAGGCGUACAUAGCAUGAUAAACGUAAGAAA